GAUGAACGCUGGCGGCGUGCCUAAUACAUGCAAGUCGAGCGAACAGACGAGGAGCUUGCUCCUCUGACGUUAGCGGCGGACGGGUGAGUAACACGUGGAUAACCUACCUAUAAGACUGGGAUAACUUCGGGAAACCGGAGCUAAUACCGGAUAACAUGUUGAACCGCAUGGUUCAACAGUGAAAGACGGUCUUGCUGUCACUUAUAGAUGGAUCCGCGCCGCAUUAGCUAGUUGGUAAGGUAACGGCUUACCAAGGCAACGAUGCGUAGCCGACCUGAGAGGGAGAGAGGCGACACUAGAAAUGAGACACGGGAGAGACACCGACGGGAGGAAGAAGGGGGGAAGAGUGGACAAGGGGCGAAAGCCUGAUCUAGCAAUGAAGAGGGGGUGAAGAAGGUCUUAGGAUUGUAAAGCACUUUAAGUGGGGAGGAAGGGAAGGAAGUGAAUACAUGGGUGCCGUGACGGGACAAAAAGAAUAAGCAACGGCUAACUCAGGG
rnacentral:rRNA from 1 species